UUUUUUUGGCUUAUUAUUAAGACUAAUUUUAUGUAUCAGAUACCAAACAUUCAAACACUCAAACUUUUUCAAAAUCUUUCAUCAAACUUGAAGAACACUCCAACCUUACACCAGCUACCACCACCACACCACCGACGUACCGUCGGCAUGUCGUCGUCACACCACCGUCACCGCCGCCUCCUACCUCUGGCGAACUAUUCUGAUCAGAUCCGCAUGCACUGACCAGUUCCAAAUGUUAGAUUUCCAGUGAAACAUUACCGUCUUCGUCGUACCAGAGGUCAUUCGCACUAGAUCUAUCAUCGUUGUUUACACCGCUGCAAGAUGUGAAUUUGUAUGGUCUAGAUCUAUGAUUUCCGCCACCAUAAAUGUCCAGAUCUAUGAUUUCCGCCACCAUAAAUGUCCAGAUCUGUGGUUUCAUUUUCAUCAAGUUUCAGAUCUGGUGAAAAAUCUGCAACUUGUCUCCAUCUUUGUUUCUCUGAUCUCUGGUAAAACAUCACCAGAUCUGCAUCAGGUGUAUCUGGUGCAUUUCAUGUUGGCUUGCAUCAAAUCUAAUUUCCGAAGAUAAAUCUUAAAAAAAAAUCAG